UGGGGAAUAUUGCACAAUGGGCGAAAGCCUGAUGCAGCAACGCCGCGUGAGUGAUGAAGGCCUUCGGGUUGUAAAGCUCUGUCUUCUGGGACGAUAAUGACGGUACCAGAGGAGGAAGCCACGGCUAACUACGUGCCAGCAGCCGCGGUAAUACGUAGGUGGCAAGCGUUGUCCGGAUUUACUGGGCGUAAAGGAUGCGUAGGCGGAUACUUAAGUCAGAUGUGAAAAUCCCGGGCUUAACUUGGGAACUGCAUUUGAAACUGGGUAUCUAGAGUGCGGGAGAGGAAAGUGGAAUUCUUAGUGUAGCGGUGAAAUGCGUAGAGAUUAGGAAGAACACCAGUGGCGAAGGCGACUUUCUGAACCGUAACUGACGCUGAGGCAUGAAAGCGUGGGGAGCAAACA
rnacentral:rRNA from 1 species